AAAAAAGCUAUGGAGGAUUACCACCUGCAUCGUCGAGGAAGAAGAUUGGCCAGGCAUAGAUCUGAAUUUUGUAAGGUGAUGGAGAAGCAAUGGACAUCAAUGGUGAGUUUAGAGGCAAUAGAUUCCAUGCCAUUAGAGAAAGAGAAAGAGAGAGAAAUAAUCGCACAUUUCUGAGAUCGAUUGAUAUUGAUGAAUUCUCCUCAAUUAGAUUGAAGGUACAAGGAGAAGAAACUCAAUUAGAUUGAAGGAUAAAACAGUCAUCCAUAUAAUAUAAAAGUAUCUAAAUUUGUAAGGAACAUGAGAUGUUCCUAUAUCUACAAAAGCACAGACUUUAAUAUGCUAAUCCCAUAAUUGAUCCCUUAAUUGUGUGUGUAUUCAAAAUAAGCCCACUUCUUAUAGGCAAUGUAACACUUGACUCAAAAGCCAAAGCAGCCACUUAAAUAGUUAAGUUACAUUAAACAGAGAAGCAGCCUUCCCUAAGUUAAGCAUUCUUAAUCUAACCAAAUAUAAUUCAUAUCUAACAAUGUUAACUUCUCUUUCUAUUCUUAAUAAUAACCUAACAAAUUAACUUGGGUGGUGUACUAUUCUGAGUUUGUUACUUGUCUUGUCCAUGCACGGCUAGUGCUGGUGCUGUCUUAGAAGGGCUUGAAGGUACGUGGCUGUUGAUACAGAAAAUGUUUAAAGAGGAGACAAGUCUUUGUCAAAGUUUGCGGAUGACGGCUAUGAAAUCGAA
rnacentral:sRNA from 1 species